rnacentral:rRNA from 1 species
GAUGAACGCUGGCGGCGUGCUUAACACAUGCAAGUCGAACGGACAGGCCCUGCUUUUGUGUGGUUCUCGAUUGGCGAACGGGUGAGUAACACGUGUGUAACCUGCCCUUGUCUUUGUGAUAACUUUUGGAAACUGGGGCUAAUAUCGGGUAUGAUCUUCUGCUGCAUGUGGGGGGUUGGAAAAUUUCGGCCGUUGUGGAUGGACUCGCGGCUUAUCAGCUUGUUGGUGUGGUAGUUGCUUACCAAGGCUGUGACGGAUAGCCGGCCUGAGAGGGUGACCAGCGACAUUGGGACUGAGAUAGGGACCAGACUCCUACGGGAGGCAGCAGUGGGGAAUAUUACACAAUGGGCGGAAGCCUGAGGCAGCAACGCCGGGUGCGGGAUGACGGCCUUCGAGUGAUAAACCGCUUUCGCCGGUGCCGAAGCGAGAGUGACGGUAAUGGGUAAGGAAGCAACGGCUAACUACGUG